AGAGUUUGAUCCUGGCUCAGAAUGAACGCUGGCGGCGUGCUUAACACAUGCAAGUCGAACGAGAAUUCUUUAGCUUGCUAAAGAUAGUAAAGUGGCGCACGGGUGAGUAACGCGUGGGUAAUCUACCUUCGAAUUGGGAAUGACCCCUCGAAAGCGGGGCUAAUACCGGAUAAUAUCUUUAAAAUUUCGAUUUUCAAGAUCAAAGGUGGCCUCUACAUGUAAGCUACCGUUUGAAGAUGAGCCCGCGUACCAUUAGCUUGUUGGUAGAGUAAUGGCCUACCAAGGCUACGAUGGUUAGCUGGUUUGAGAGGAUGAUCAGCCACACUGGAACUGACACACGGUCCAGACUCCUACGGGAGGCAGCAGUGAGGAAUUUUGCGCAAUGGGGGAAACCCUGACGCAGCAACGCCGCGUGAGUGAUGAAGGCUUUCGAGUCGUAAAGCUCUGUCAAGUGGGAAGAACUUAUUUGAUACUAAUAUCAUCAAAUAUUGACGGUACCACUGAAGGAAGCACCGGCUAACUCCGUGCCAGCAGCCGCGGUAAUACGGAGGGUGCAAGCGUUAUUCGGAAUUAUUGGGCGUAAAGAGCGCGUAGGUGGUCCCUUAAGUCAGAUGUGAAAGCCUUCCGCUUAACGGAAGAAGUGCAUUUGAAACUAAGAGACUUGAGUAUGGGAGAGGGAAGUGGAAUUCCUGGUGUAGAGGUGAAAUUCGUAGAUAUCAUGAGGAACACCGGUGGCGAAGGCGACUUCCUGGACCAAUACUGACGCUGAGCGCGAAGCGUGGGGAGCAAACAGGAUUAGAUACCUGGUAGUCACGCAGUAAACGGUGAACACUAGUGUAGCGGGUAUUGACCCCUGCUGUGCCGCAGUAACGCAUUAAGUGUUCCGCCUGGGGGAGUACGACCGCAAGGUUAAACUCAAAGGAAUUGACGGGGCCCGCACAGCGGUGGAGCAUGUGUUUCAAUCGACGCACGCGAAGACCUUACCUGAAUUGACAAUCCCGAGAAGUCUUCGAAGAUAGAUGUGCCCUUCGGGGAACUCGGUGACAGGUGCUGCAUGCCUGUCGUCAGCUCUGUCUGAGAAUGUUGGUAGUCCCGCACGGAGCGCCAACCCUUAUCUUUAGUACAUCAUUAGUGGACUCUGAGAUAUCUGCCUGCACGGAGAGGUGGGAUGACGUCAGUC
rnacentral:rRNA from 1 species